rnacentral:rRNA from 1 species
CUCACUAGACACUAGCGGCGGACGGGUGAGUAAUGCUUAGGAAUCUGCCUAUUAGUGGGGGACAACAUCUCGAAAGGGAUGCUAAUACCGCAUACGUCCUACGGGAGAAAGCAGGGGACCUUCGGGCCUUGCGCUAAUAGAUGAGCCUAAGUCGGAUUAGCUAGUUGGUGGGGUAAAGGCCUACCAAGGCGACGAUCUGUAGCGGGUCUGAGAGGAUGAUCCGCCACACUGGGACUGAGACACGGCCCAGACUCCUACGGGAGGCAGCAGUGGGGAAUAUUGGACAAUGGGGGGAACCCUGAUCCAGCCAUGCCGCGUGUGUGAAGAAGGCCUUUUGGUUGUAAAGCACUUUAAGCGAGGAGGAGGCUACCGAGAUUAAUACUCUUGGAUAGUGGACGUUACUCGCAGAAUAAGCACCGGCUAACUCUGUGCCAGCAGCCGCGGUAAUACAGAGGGUGCAAGCGUUAAUCGGAUUUACUGGGCGUAAAGCGCGCGUAGGUGGCCAAUUAAGUCAAAUGUGAAAUCCCCGAGCUUAACUUGGGAAUUGCAUUCGAUACUGGUUGGCUAGAGUAUGGGAGAGGAUGGUAGAAUUCCAGGUGUAGCGGUGAAAUGCGUAGAGAUCUGGAGGAAUACCGAUGGCGAAGGCAGCCAUCUGGCCUAAUACUGACACUGAGGUGCGAAAGCAUGGGGAGCAAACAGGAUUAGAUACCCUGGUAGUCCAUGCCGUAAACGAUGUCUACUAGCCGUUGGGGCCUUUGAGGCUUUAGUGGCGCAGCUAACGCGAUAAGUAGACCGCCUGGGGAGUACGGUCGCAAGACUA